rnacentral:lncRNA from 1 species
UCCUUGCAGUUCAGUAGAGGUACCAAGGUGGAGAGGGAGAAGGUAACGUGUUUCUUGCCUCUAGGGCUGCUAGAAGCUGGUGGAGAGCAGCUGCUCUCGUGGCCCUGGAGAACUGCCGUAGCGUGUGUUCAUCUACAGACGCAGGAGAACUAUGUGUGCACGUGGGACGGCGGUCCUGGUGAGGUUGGGAGCAGAUAGCUGUGAAGCCUGCAUUAUGACUGCCUGAGCUGAACUGCUUUCCUGGGUUUGCUGUUAAGACCUUCUUUAACACCCCGAUGCCCCCAGCGCUGUCUUACUCCCAUAGUUGCAUGGCUACACAGCCCUUUUCCUUCGCCCAGGCAGACUGGGGCUGCCCCUAUCCCAUGCCGGCGCCCCGCAGCGCCAACGGCAGGACCUUUCUCGGAAGGACGGUCUGGCUCUCCUGGCAGUUGCACCCCGUGGCAGAACUGCGCUGAUCCCUUCCAGUCUGGCACGACGUUUGCUCCAGGUAUGACUCAGUUGAGCCUGGAACAGGAGGACAAGCACAUAGCGCUCAAGCUAAGCAGGCUGGAUUACUCGCAGCAUUUCCUUCCCUCGCUCCUCUCAGCAUCCUCCUGGAAAUACGGAUUUACAAGAAAAAAAACUGCAAUUUAAUUUAGUUUCAGAAAAAAAUAAUCUUAGUGGUAUGGCUAAUCCCAAGCCCUUACUAGCCUCUGAUUUUUUGCAGACUCAGGCAGAUGUAUUUUUUCUUCCUCUUCCAGACUAGGAGGUAGAGGGCCACAGUUGCAAAGUCAUCUAAACUCGGAACAGCCUGUGCUGCAGUCAGCAUCAUGCUGCAGCAACGGACGAGGUUUUGCAAGAUCAGAACCACCCCCAGUUUUGCCCCCUAUCUCCCGUUAUGCCCUAAAAAACCAGUAUUGAAGGUUAUUAUGGUGAAUUUGCAAUUCCCAUGUGUCAGCACAGCCCUUGCCUGCCGUGAGAGGCGCUUCUCUGCGUGU